UAACAAGGAUUCCCCUAGUAACGGCGAGUGAAGCGGGAAGAGCUCAAAUUUGUAAUCUGGCGGCCUCCGGUCGUCCGAGUUGUAGUCUGGAGAAGCGUCGUCCGCGCCGGACCGUGUACAAGUCCCUUGGAACGGGGCGUCGUGGAGGGUGAGAACCCCGUCUCUGACACGGACUGCCGGUGCCCUGCGAUGCGCUCUCGAAGAGUCGAGUUGUUUGGGAAUGCAGCUCAAAACGGGUGGUAAAUUCCAUCUAAAGCUAAAUACCGGCGGAAGACCGAUAGCGAACAAGUACCGUGAGGGAAAGAUGAAAAGCACUUUGGAAAGAGAGUUAAACAGUACGUGAAAUUGUUGAAAGGGAAACGCUUCAAGUCAGUCGCGUCCGUCGAGGCUCAGCCGGGUUUCCGAACCCGGUGCACUUCUCGGCGUCGACGGGCCAGCAUCGAUUUCGACCGUCGGAGAAAGGCUCUGGGAACGUGGCACCUUCGGGUGUGUUAUAGCCCUCUGUCGUAUGCGACGGUCGGGAUCGAGGACCGCAGCGCGCCCUUCGCCGGGCCGGGGUUCGCCCACGCAACGCGCUUAGGAUGCUGGCGUAAUGGCUUCAAGCGACCCGUCUUGAAAC
rnacentral:rRNA from 1 species